ensembl:lncRNA
GGAGGGUAGUACUGUCACCUCAAAAGGUCCCUAGUUUGAGCCCUCGCUGAACCAGGAGGCUUUUCUGUAUGGAGUUUCAUGUUCUCCCUUUGUUUCUGUGGACAAGGUGUUUAGGUUUCCCCUCACAAUCCGAAGAAAUCCAUUUCAGGGUGCAUCCAGGGUGUUUCCCUGCCUAUGGCCUGAGAUGUUGAGAUAGGCCGCACAUGCCCACAACCCUGAAUGACAGGUGGUUUGGAAGAUGGAUGGAAGGAUGCACAGCAGUGUAAGUAUACAGCUACCUUCUAGCCAGAAUUAAAAAUACAGAUUACUUCUCAGACAAAGAAGCAGAGAAGGCAUUUCUGCUCAUGGAUAUUUCUGCUCUUGAGUGUCUGUGUUAAUGAUUUAAUUGUCAAAAGUGUGUGACUGUUUUAUCUUUUUCCCCUGGAGCAAGGGUAGUGCUCUUGGAGUCCUACCUUCCAGACUUCAGUUCCAACCCUGCUUCAACACACCUGCCUGUGAUUUUCAAGUAAUUACUGAACAUCGUCAUUAGCUGGUUCAGGUGUGUUUUAUUAGGGUUGUAGCUAAACUCUGCAGGAUCUUAGCUCUCCAGGUGCAUUGCUGGCUACUCCUGUCUAAGCAUAGAGAGUAGUAUUGUGUAAACUUUUGACUGUCGGCAUAAAGUCUGGCCCACAUUACAGCUUAUAUUCUAGCCAAGAAUCACCCACAGUCAGGAAAAGACCCAGCUCCGAGUCUCUUUGAAAGAUCUGAUGCCUCUAACCUGGCAAACUUUGUUUCAGAGUUCUGCUUAAUGGUGAUAAUUUAUGGUCCUUUGAAGUCUGAAGAUUCAGAUAUAUUAUCCACAUCUGCACCCAGGUUCAAAAAGGAUGUUUGAUGUCAUUGACACCAAAAGUCAUGUUUCAAAUAUGCAGACGUGGAAACUUUCUGGGUGGGGAUAGCUGUGGGGCUGCUCACAGGCCGCUGGUUGCCUCCAUCCACAGGCCUGGCCAUCUGCCUCUGGCUGCUGAUUGACAGGACUAGCCGGGGAGACACAAUCGUGCCAACGGCUGAGGGCAGAGGACACUGACUGCGAGCGAGACAGACGUGACCAUCGACAAAAUCGCCUAAUGCUCAUAACUGCUACCUUUUGCUCGGGACUCAGGGGUGGGGGGCAGGAAACUGCUAACCGCAAUGACAAAACCCAUACAAAAAUCUCAUCUCUUCAGUGGAGUUGAAUGUUCAGGCAAAGGAUGGGAUGUCAUAACAGAAUAAAAAAACAUAUCAUAGAUAAAUCUUUUUUCUU